rnacentral:tRNA from 1 species
UCCCUGGUGGCUCAGAUGGUAAAGCAUCUGCCCGCAAUGCAGGAGACCUGGGUUCGAUUCCUGGGUCGGGAA